GCUUAUAACUUCCCUUCUCAUCUUUGUUGCGCCAUUCAUACUUAGAUCUAUGAUGCAUCUAGAAAUAAUUUAUGUAUAUAGUGUGGGAGUCAAGAGUCAAUCUUUAAAAUUUCAGUGAAGGUCUGCUGAUAGCAAACUCCAUUUUGGUUCAUAAAUAUCUUUAUCUCAUUUUAAAAAUAUUUUUUGAAGAGUAUAGAAUUCUAGGUUGGGAAUUUUUUUUUAGCACAUUGAUGUUAUUCUGCUGUCUUCUGGCUUCAGUUAUUUCCCUCAUAAGUAAGUUAUCAGCUUAAGGUUGAUACUCCUUUGAAAGUAAUCAACUUUUUUUUCCUGGCUGCCUUCAGGAUCUCCUCUUUAUCUCUGUUCUGUAUCACUAUGAUAUGUGUGUUUGUAGGGUUUUGGGGGUUUUUUUGUUUUUGUUUUUUUUUUCUGAUCCUGCUUGAGAUUCUUUGGGCCCCUUGGAUUAUUAUUGUCUUUUAUCAGUUCUGAAAGAUAUUCAGCUAUUAUAUUUCAUUGUCUUUACCUCAUUCUUUCAAAAGCUCCAAUAACAUGUUAGACCUAUUGUUAUAUUCUCCGUGCCCUUUAUGUCUUUUGUUUCAUAUUUUCCAAUCUUACACUCUCGUAAUUUCUUCAGAAUUGUGACCAACAAAUUUGGAGAAGAGCCUCUAUUCGUUCUUUAAGAAAUGAAAAUGAAUUUUUUAAAUCCCAUGUUUUUUAUAUACUUGACAACACUGUUUCCUCAACAUUGUUGCUUAAGAUCCAUACGUAAGAGUUUGGGGUAUGUUAAGAUAGAUAUUUAGGGGAGAGGGGUUGGUAGCCCUUCACCUUCCUCACAUUAUCAUGACUUCCUUUCUGGGAAUAAAAACAAAUCGUGUUGGUAUGAUCUAAGGUCACUAGCCUGUAUGUGGGUAAUAGGUUUUUCAUUUAGAAAGUAGUUCAGAAUCCCCAAUUUGUGGGAUUUUUCCUCAUAUAUGUAUAUACUGAUUAAAUUUAACACAAGUUACUUUUCAGUAAUGUUAGAAUAUAUUAACCAGAACAUCAGUUGUCUCUUUGAGAAGGUCACUUAUAAUUCUUGUGUCACUUUUCCCAGGAGAUUCUGCUCUGUGGGAGAAGUGGGGUUCAGUUUCAUCAGGGGUGCCACUGCAGGUACCCAGCUAACACUGACUGCUUCUAAUGAACCAGGCACUGCACUUUCUGCCGUGUAACAUUACAACAACCCCAUGAGACAGUAUUGUAAUUUCAUCUCAAUCUUAAGAAAAUGGAAGCUUUAAAAGACAAACAACUUUUCCAAGUAUGCCCUGCUGAGAACUGGAAACUAGGAUUCGAAUCCUAAUAGUUUAACUUUUGAUUCCUUGCUCUUAUGCUUAUCCUGUCUUGCCUCCCUGGAGAACAGGACAUUAUUUUUAUAUAUAGGUGUAAUGGGUAUAUAUUUCGCAAAUAAUCUUUGUUUUGUCACAGAAGUCUCUAUGGCCUUAGGAGAGAUCCUUAGCUUAUUUCCUGUCACAUGAUGCUGUAACAUAGAUUUGUUCUUGAAAUGUGUGUGUGAAGUGAAAGGCAGCAUUCAGUCAUCAUAUGGUGGUGGUAGGAGCUGCACACCUUGCUGAUCGCUGGCCACACAGCUACACAAGUGUUCCCUACUCAGAAAGCCAAGACUGGUGGGCAAGACGGAUGCCAAUGGUAUAAGGUGAGAAAACAGAUGGGGCCCGGAGGAGCACAGAGCACCACUCACCCUACAGAGAAGCUGUAAGGGGACUCUGGAAGAAUGUGUGCGAGCACAGGACCGUAGUACAUUAAGGACGUGCACUAGUGACGUGGAGGUUUGAUGUGUGCAAAGCAGAGUGCACUGGGGGAAGUGGGCUGUACCUGGGAAAGGUAGGCUGUGAGGAUCAGCAGAGGAGCUUCCCAAACACUCUGGACUCCCCAACCCCUUUUUCCCCUUUAGCGAGCCUGCAGAGGGACUGUGAGAUCGGUUUGACCAAGUGCCCAGUGCUGCUAAUGCUGCUGUCAAAGAGCCACACCUUGAGAAGCGUGCCCUAGGGGGACUACUCUGUGGGUGCAGGAGCACCACAGCUAGCCAAGAGAGCUCGCCAUGCACUUCCAGCUCAAGCUCCACGGCCAAGACACACACUGAAGGAUGUGCUGCCCCUUCUUCAGCUGAGGGCUGAGGGCGACGUCCAUAUCGGAUUGGGGAGCCACCCCUUCCUGAGGCCUCACCUCCACAUCUCCAGGCUCUCCUAGGAGCUUUGGGAAUUAGCAACUAACUGACCCAUCCUCACUUGGGCAUCUCGGCUGCAGGCUCCUGGGAAGCCAGGCAUACGGAGAGAAACAAGGGUGAGUAGUUCUGAAUCUGCUUGUGCAGAAUGAAAGCCCUGCUGUGAGGGAGAGAGAGUCAGAGCAGAUGGCCCACCUCUGGCUUUUGAGGGAUCAGGACUUGCCCUCCCACAGCCAGAAAGACAGAAAAUGGAGUGUACUCAAGUUUGGGUAUGGAAAAUACCUCCAAAUUCUGGGCAGUUUUCUGUGAGUGGGCUCCAGCAGUCUGGUCUGGCUAAUAUUCUGUUUCAGAUUCCCUUAGGGGAGCCCCCCACCCAGAGGGAAGGAGGAGGCAGUCUGCUAGAAUACCGCUUUGUAAGUUGCUUCUUUUCAUUUUGUACUGGAGUUUCAGGAACUGCUUUAAAUGUCCCUAUCCUCAAGUCUACUUUGUACCCUCUUCAUUACAGCUCAGUGUACCUUUCCGUUAUAGCCUGGGAAACAGACAAUUCCACCACACCCUCCCCCCUUACAUUUAUUUUAGAUUUUCUCUUUUCCUAAAAUGUAGUUGAAGAACAAUUUGCCAGACAUAUUCCAAUGGAAAUAUGCUGCCAGGUAUCCCCCUGCCCCUCCCCGACCCCCUAAAUCCCUGAUAAAGGAAAAUGAAAAUGUAAACUUUGGAAAGCCUGUACUCAGGGUUUGCUUCUAGAAGUAUGCAAAUGAGGCCCCUUGGCCAGCCAAGCCCUUCUUGCUAGAACCUCUCUGGCCUAGGUUUUGAGGGCAGGUACUUUGUGGCCCAGGGCAGAGCUUUCCUGGCAUUUCCCUGGCACUGGCUGGCUGAGGGCUAAAAGAAUAGAGUGGGAGACCGGCCCUCCAGUACUCUCUAAGGCACUAACCCCGACAUCAGAGACACUGGCUGGAAGGGCGUCCAAGCAGGCAGGGCUCACAUUGGUUUUGGUUGGGUUUUUUUUUUUUUUUUUUUUAAAUAUUUUUUCGUAAGAUGUUAAUAAAAGUAGAAAAUAAAAAUCUACAUUUCAUUAGAAUAAGAUGUUAUCAUGGAUGCCAUCUCCCAUGAUACUCUUUCCCCACCCUCCCCGAAGCAGGGCCCUGCCCUGUUAUUUAAAAUAAACAAACAAAAAAACUUUUGUAAGUGCCAAAGGUUGAUGCAUGAAAUAAUUACUUUUUUUUUUUUUUUUCAUAAAAGUUAUAUACAAAAUGGACCCCAACCAGUGAGGCCUCCUCAUCUCAACCCUUAUCAAUCAAGAUUAAAACUCAGUGCAUGUGUGUGCUUCGUCCCGCGUCUGCAGGCUGCAUCCGUGCCUUCAGGCUCUGUUAAGGAGAGUCGUCCUAAAGGACCUUCACUUUCAAAGGAGGCGAUGAAGAGAGCUGAGAGAAGAAGCCCCUCAGAACCCACGUCCACAUGCAGUCAGUCUGCCUACCACACCAGUUGUCCCUUCCUUUCUAGAGAUAAUGAAAUAGUGGGAAGAACUCAACUGAGGAAAUCCUAAGAGUCCCAAGUGCAGCCAAGGUGUCACCACCUCCAGGAAGCCUCCCUGGGUUAAUCCCUAGACUGCUGACUGCAGGACUGAUCAUUUGCUUUCGUGCUCUCCUGCCUAGCCAGAACCCAGCCCAUUAACCAUUUGUGGGAUAGAAUGACAAUGGUGGGCUCCCCAGCAAUCCUUAUCAAAAUAACACCAGCAUUCUUCACAGAGCUAGAACAAACAAUCCUAAAAUUUGUAUGGAACCAGAAAAGACCCCAAAUAGCCAAAGCAAUCUUGAAAAAGAGAACCAAAGCUGGAGGCAUCACAAUUCCAGACUUCAAGCUGUAUUGCAAAGCUGUCAUCAUCAAGACAGUAUGGUACUGGCACAAAAACAGACACUCAGAUCAAAGGAACGGAAUAGAAAGCCCAGAAAUGGACCCACAAACAUAUGGCCAACUAACCUUUGACAAAGCAGGAAAGAAUCUCCAAUGGCACAAAGACAGUCUCUUCAGCAAACGGUGCUGGGAAAACUGGACAGCGAUGCAGAAAAAUGAACCUGGACCACUUUCUUACACCAUACAUGAAAAUAAAUUCAAAAUGGAUGAAAGACCUAAAUGUAAGGCAGGAAGCCAUCAAAAUCCUAGAGGAGAAAGCAGGCAAAAACCUCUUUGACCUUGACUGAAGCAACUUCUUACUCGACACGUCUCCGGAGGCAAGGGAAACAAAAGCAAAAAUGAACUUCUGGGACCUCAUCAAGAUAAAAAGCUUCUUCACAGCAAAGGAAACAAUCAGCAAAACUAAAAGGCAACGAAUGGAAUGGAAGAAGAUAUUUGCAAACGACAUAUCAGAUAAAGGGUUAGUAUCCAAAAUCUAUAAAGAACUUACCAAACUCAACACCCAAAAAACAAAUAAUCCAGUGAAGAAGUCAGCAAAAGACAUGAAUAGACAUUUCUCCAAAGAAGACAUCCAGAUGGCCAACCGACACAUGAAAAAAUGCUCAACAUCACUCAUCAUCAAUCAAAACCACAAUGAGAUACCACCUCACACCAGUCAGAAUGGCUAACAUGAACAACUCAGGCAACAGCAGAUGUUGGUGAGGAUGUGGAGAAAGAGGAUCUCUUUUGCCCUGUUGGUGGGAAUGCAAACUGUUGCAGCCACCCUGGAAAACAGUAUGGAGGUUCCUCAAAAAACUAAAAAUAGAACUACCCUACAACCCAGCAAUUGCACUACUAGGCAUUUAUCCACAGGAUACAGGUGUGCUGUUUCGAAGGGACACAUGCACCCCCAUGUUUAUAGCAGCACUAUCGACAAUAGCCAAAGGAUGGAGAGAGUCCAAAUGUCCAUCGAUGGGCGAAUGGAUAAAGAAGAUGUGUGGUGUAUAUAUA